rnacentral:rRNA from 1 species
GACGAACGCUGGCGGCGUGCUUAAUACAUGCAAGUCGAACGGAAAGACCCGGCGUUUGCGGGUUGCUCGUUUGGCGAAGGGGGGAGUGACACGUGAGGAACCUGCCCUUGUCUUUGGGAGAACUUCAGGGAACAGGGGCGAAUACCGGAGAUGAUCUCCUGCUGCACGGUGGGGGUUGGAAAGAUUCGGCUGUUGGGGAUGGUAUGGCGGGUUAUCAGCUUGUUUGUGUGGUAGGGGCUUACCAAGGCUUUGACGGGUAGCCUGCGUUAGAGGGUUACCGGCCACCUUGGGACUGCGGUACGGCCCAGACUCCUACGGGCGGCAGCAGUGGGAAAUAUUGCACAACGGGCGGACGCCUGAUGCAGAAACGCCCCGUGCGGGAUGACGGCCUUCGGGUUGUAAACCAAUUUCGACUGUGCCAAAGCGUGCGUGACGGUAACGGGUAAAGAAGCACCGGCUAACUACAUG